rnacentral:rRNA from 1 species
AACGUAGGUGGCAAGCGUUAUCCGGAUUUACUGGGCGUAAAGGGUGUGCAGGCGGGGGGCCAAGUGGGGUGUGAAAGGGUCAGGCUCAACCUGGCGAGGGUAUGCCAGACUGGUCGUCUAGAACGUGAGAGAGGGACGUGGAAUUCCGGGUGUAGUGGUGAAAUGCGUAGAUAUCUGGAGGAACACCGGUGGCGAAGGCGGCAUCCUGGACCGGCAUUGACGCUGAGGAGCGAAAGCCAGGGGAGCAAACGGG